GACGAACGCUGGCGGCGUGCCUAAUACAUGCAAGUCGAACGCAGUGGGGACGGGUGAGUAACACGUGGGUCACCUCCCCAUCAGAGGGGAUAACACUUGGAAACAGGUGCUAACCCGAUAUUGAAGGAUGGCCCCGCGGUGCAUUAGCUAGUUGGUGGGGUAACGGCUCACCAAGGCCAAGAUGCAUUGCCGACCGGGGAGGGUGAUCGGCCACUCUGGGACUGAGACACGGCCCAGACUCCUACGGGGGGCAGCAGUAGGGAAUCUUCGGCAAGGGACGAAAGUCUGACCGAGCAACGCCGCGUGAGUGAAGAAGGUUUUCGGAUCGUAAAACUCUGUUGUUAGAGAAGCGGUAUCUAACCAGAAAGCCACGGCUAACUACGUGCCAGCCGCCGCGGUAAUUC
rnacentral:rRNA from 1 species